CAUGCUCAGAAAGCUUGCAGGAGAUGGAAAGUUCAGAGGAAUAAGUAACAUGGCAGGGGAUACGUUGUCAGGCUGGAGCACUAGGCUCGAUGUAACACAAUGAAAUUCAAUGUCAAGUCCUUUCAUAGGGAAUAAAAAUCACUUUUACAGAUGUGAAAUGAGGGAGACGCAACUUUUCACCAGAUGUUCUGAGAUGUGGGCUGUUUUUAACAGCACAGAAGCUCCCUCGGGGUUGGUGAAAGCUGUGAAAGUAAAGUCAGUCUUCGACUACAUUAAGAGGGAUUGGAGCUUCUAUACAUAGUCCUGUGGGGAGCGACGCGAGCGUGAUCCAGCCUGAAAAGGCCACGGUUUCCAGGAGCCCCAUCAGCACCUUCUCUGUCAAUAGACGGGCACCCAUUUGGUUUGGAGACAUCAGAUUUUUCACCUUCAAUGCUUCAAUUGAAACGCUGGAGUGUUAAAGGUGUCCAUAAGCUGAUAUUAAUAGAAAUUAUGCGCAAACGUCAAGGGAAAAGCUGCACUUAUCCGGAGGAAUAAAAAGCCCCACACAAUGGAAGGCAAAGGGCAGAUCUGUCAUUUCUCCAUGAUGGCGGGCUGGGCCACCACAGGACUACCUGGAGGCGGGCCUGCUUUUUAUUACUCUCAUGACAUCUACUGGCAAAGCCAGGAAUAAACACCUGCAGACACCUCUCCAGCCUGGCACUGUCGCAGACGGCUUGGGGUCCCCCCUCCCCCCGGGACACAUGCCCACCGACUCGGCCCUCCGAGAAGGGGAUGCAAUGGGGACGAAGAAAGGCCGUCCAGAUCCUCUGGGGCCAUGGAGCCUCCUCGGUAAACACCAGACAAAGGAAUAAACAAGAGCCUUUGUGCAGCCCAGGCAAAGGCAAACGUGGUGGGGAAUGCUAAGCAGGGGGGUGGCCAUUCGGACCAACUGUCUCCGGAGCCCCUCGGCUCUGGGCCAGCCCGGGCGGUGAGUGGUCAGACCCGGGGCCUUCCACCUGCAUGGAGGACGGGAAAGAAGCUCCCCAGCUUGCCCCGUAGCCAUCUUUCCUUCCCUUCCCGAGAGACUAGAUCUGCUUUUGUGACUGGAGUGAGGAGCACUGCCUUCCCUGAGCCGAGCCAGACCCAGGCGAGCCCAGACUUAAAUGGGCUCCUCGGCCGAAUCCAUGGCCGAGUCCCCUGAAAUCAGGGAACAGCAAAGAGACCACCGACUCUUGGGGCCUCUGCCACUGUGUAAACUUCAAGAAUCUCUGUGGGUCUCAGUUUCCCCCACUGUAAAGAUGGUCUCCCAGCCCAGGAGCAGGGAUUCUAAGGUCCAGGAUUCUGAGCACAAGACCAAUCGCCGCCCUUUGGGUAAGCCCCUUUGCUCCCUUUCCAUCAUGUCCCUAGAGCAGAGGAUUUUGGGUAGUGUUCCCCAAUUUUUAGAGGGCAGAGGUGAGAUGUCAUCGAGUCUCCAGCCAGGAAAUGUUGACAACUAAAAUGGGAAGGGAUAUGGGGUUCAACCUUGGUGCUAGGGUGAAGAACCUCAGCCUUAAAAAGCCAUUUUACUGGUCAUUCCUUUGGGGUCCUGGACCAUACAGCUGUCUGGGGGUCCUGCAGAUCCUGACCUUCCUACAGUUGCCUGGCUCCUUGGUUUGGCCAAAGUCUGAAAGAACUCUGGGUCAGGCUGGAGGAUCUGGACUCGGAGGCAGAGUCUCUGCUCAGCUCCUGAGUGACUUGGUGAGGGGUGGGCUAUUACUGGAUGUUCUCUAGAGCCAAGCAAGCUGGAAAUCUACAAUCUAGGAACUCCCCCUCCCUCCGUCCCUUUGUAUCUAGUCUUGCUUCAUAUAAUAGUAAGCCCCUCGAGGUCAAGGAUUGUUUUUCUUCUUCUUCUUAUCCCCCAGGUUUAGCACCAUGCUUAGCCCAUUGUAAGUGCUUAAUAAAUGUUUACUGUAUUGAAUCUUGGGCUAUAUAUCUCAAAAGUAUAGUGAGCAAUUGCCUGAAUAAUUCAAAAAGAUUCUCAGUUCUGAAUUCUCCAGAUGGAGGGUCUAUCAGGCCCCAAAUUCAUUAAUUGUCAACUCUCCAUUUCACUUUUCUGCUGCAUAGACUGAGGAAAAGAUUCCAGCUCCAGCAUUGUCAAGGAAGGUCAUGGUUAUGAAGUCAUCUUUUUCUGGGUAAUUUAGACCCACAAAUAUUCUUGCCUCUGCCUGAAGUGGGCCCGCUGGGGGGACUGAUCAAAAUGAAGAUAAAUAUGAUUGUUAUUUGCUGCUCCAAACACUUCCUAAUGCGCCAUUCUGCACCCUCCUGGGUGCAAGGCUUAGAGACAGACCAGCACAUGGGCUCCCCUGGCAGGCUUAAGGACGCAGGAAAAUCACAGUACUCCAGAAUUUCUCAUAUAGGAUCUCUGUUGCUGCCUGAAAUUCUACCACUACCUAGCUUACCUUUAUUGUUUUUUUUUUAAUUAAAGCUUUUUAUUUCAUAACAUGUGCAUAGAUAAUUUUUCAACCUGU